UUGUUCAGAUUGAUUCAGUUUCUCUCCGCCUGAAAUUAUAUACUCUGGCUCAGAUUGAUUCAGUUUCUCUCCUCCUGAAGGUAUCUUCUCUUGUUCAGAUUGAUUCCGUUUCUCUCCACCUAAAGGUAUAUUCUCUUGCUCGGAUUGAUUCCGUUUCUCUCCGCCUGAAGUUAUGUACUCUGGCUCGGAUUGAUUCCGUUUCUCUCCGCCUGAAGUUAUAUCCUCUUGUUCAGAUUGAUUCAGUUCCUCUCUGUCUGAGGGUAUGUGUUCUUGCACAUAUAGAUUCAGUUUCUCUCCGCCUGAAGUUAUGUACUCUGGCUCGGAUUGAUUCAGUUUCUCUCCACCUGAAGGUAUAUACUCUGACUCGGAUUGAUUCAUUUUCUCUCCGUCUGUUGGUAUGUGUUCUUGUGCAUUUACGUUCUGUUUCUCUCCGCCUGAAGUUAUGUACUCUGGCUCGGAUUGAUUCAGUUUUUCUCCACCUAAAGGUAUAUGUUCUUGUUCAGAUUGAUUCAUUUUCUCUCCGCCUGAAAUUAUAUACUCUGGCUCGAAUUGAUUCAGUUUCUGUCCACCUAAAGGUAUAUUUUCUUGCUCGGAUUGAUUCAGUUUCUCUCCGCCUGAAGUUAUGUACUCUGGCUCGAAUUGAUUCAGUUUCUGUCCACCUAAAGGUAUAUUCUCUUGUUCAGACUGAUUCAGUUUCUGUCCACCUAAAGGUAUAUUCUCUUGUUCAGAUUGAUUCAGUUCCUCUCUGUCUGAGGGUAUGUGUUCUUGCACAUAUAGAUUCAGUUUCUCUCCGCCUGAAGUUAUGUACUCUGGCUCGAAUUGAUUCAGUUUCUGUCCACCUAAAGGUAUAUUUUCUUGCUCGAAUUGAUUCAGUUUUUCUCCACCUAAAGGUAUAUUUUCUUGCUCGGAUUGAUUCAUUUUCUCUCUGUCUGAGGGUAUAUGUUCUUGCUCACAUAUAUCCAGUGUCUCGCCGCCUGAAGUUAUAUCCUCUUGUUCAGAUUGAUUCAGUUUCUCUCCGCCUGAAAUUAUAUACUCUGGCUCAGAUUGAUUCAGUUUCUCUCCUCCUGAAGGUAUCUUCUCUUGUUCAGAUUGAUUCCGUUUCUCUCCACCUAAAGGUAUAUUCUCUUGCUCGGAUUGAUUCCGUUUCUCUCCGCCUGAAGUUAUGUACUCUGGCUCGGAUUGAUUCAGUUUCUCUCCGUCUGUUGGUAUGUUUUCUUGUGCAUUUACGUUCUGUUUCUCUCCGCCUGAAGGUAUAUGCUCUUGCUCAUAUUGAUUCAGUUUCUCUCCGCCUGAAGGUAUCUUCUCUUGUUCAGAUUGAUUCAUUUUCUCUCCAUCUGAGGGUAUGUUUUCUUGCACAUAUAGAUUCAGUUUCUCUCUGCCUGAGGGUAUAUACUCUUGUUCAGAUUGAUUCAGAUUCUCUCCAUCUGUGGGUAUGUGUUCUUGUGCAUUUAGAUUCAGUUUCUCUCCUCCUGAAGGUAUAUACUCUUGUUCAGAUUGAUUCAGUCUCUCUGAGUGUAUAUACUCUUGCUCAGGUUGAUUCAGUCUCUCUGAGUGUAUAUACUUUUGCUCAGUUUGAUUCAGUCUCUCUGAGUGUAUCUGCUCUACCUCCUCACUGUAUAAUAUGUCUUGUGUCUGGGAAAGUUCAGUGUGAGACUCAAUUUGAAGACUCAGUACUGACUCGCUCUCAAUCAUCUGCCCAGUAAAGUGUUCACUGUAACUGGAUAUAGAUAAAUUCUCUAGCUCUUGCUCCACCAAUCUAUCAAUUCUUUCUUCAUUAUAGUCCUCAUCAGAGCACACCAUGGAGUACUCUCCAGGUUCUGUAAGUUCCUCAUAGGAUUGCUCCUCUUCUGCCUCCUGAAUCAACUGAUCUACAGCAUUCUCCUCAUCGUUCUCCUGUGUAGCAUGCUCCUUUGUUUGGCUAGCAUCCACGUCGCCUUGGUGAGUGGAGCCCAUGUGACGUUCCUGAUCUAUGACAUCUCCUUCUGACUCUUCAUACAGAUCCUCCAUGGUGUCAAACUGUUUGGACUUGCCUUCGCCCCAGGUGUCUGUUCCUGUCUGGCAAACCUCCCUGUCCUCUUCACCAUCACUGGAGUCGCUCUCGCCCAUGU
ensembl:lncRNA